CAGUUACAGUGUAAAUUUGUGAACAGUAGCAGAGCAGCAGAAGCAGUGAGUGAAACUGAGAAUGGCAUCAACUUCUGGUACUAAAGAAACUGAUCAACCUUUUUCUUCGUCUGUAAAAGAUUUGAUAGAAUAUGUUUUUUCCUUGAGUAUUCAACAUAUACUCAGUGAAGAUCUCCACAAACACAAGGUUAAAACAAUACCAAAGCGUUUCGAAUUCGUACAACAUUACCUUGGCUCUUACACUAUGUCGUUGCUGGAAGAAACUCACAUGGAGAGGUGUUCACAAAUGGAGUUUAUGUCAGGUGAACAUCAUGCUGAAGUAAUCUCAGCAGAGGAGUCGAAUCUGCAUGGAAGGUCAUUCUUGUAUAUCAUCAAGGUCGAGUGUUGGAGAAACCGGUAUGGUGUAUAUGGCAAAGAACCAUACAGCCCGAAACCUUUGGAUCUGUUUAUUUUGGGUGAUGUGGUGUGUACCUGAAGUUGCUUUGGACUUGCAGCGGUUUGGAAGCAGUUGGUCUUUCGCUUCAGUUGUAGAAGAUGUACGAAAGAGUCUCGAUUUUGUAGGGCUCAAAGAUAGACUUAUAUGCUUUCAGGUUAAGACCUCAUAGCCCCUAAAGAUAGAGAUGAAAGAGGGCAGUAGGAGUUUCUUGGUGUUUCUGGUAAACUUGGCAACAAACACUAGAACAUGGAUGGAACCAUGGAAGGCGUUACAUAUGUUUCGAAACUUGAAUAUGAUCAUGGGAGUUCUAUGUGCCUCUUCCAUAGUAAAGGAAAUUAUGGUCUUUGUUCUGUACAAGUUGACAGGAUUUGGGGCGGAGAAGUUGAUUCACAGUUAUUACUUGCUCUUAAUGAAUCUCAAAGAGCAGCAGAAUUGGGUACUAUAUCUGCAGUGCAACGUAGCCACAGGUCUUCUGUGAAGCUUGGGACAGGAAAAACCAAAACCAUCAGUAUUCUUCAACGAGUUUAUUUUGGAUUCAGAAUGUGAUGACAUGGGAUGCAAAACACACGGAUAAAUCUCGUAUCUCAGACAUGUAUCAUUUGAGCCAGAACUUUCAUACUCAUGCAGGUGUUCUCUACUAGUCACAGAGUGUAAUUGAAUUUCUGCAAUAUUCUUCCCUACCGCAUUAACAAUUUAAGUCCCGAAACAGAUAAUUUAUGGGAUCACAUGGAUUAUGUCUAUUUGCAUGAAUACCUCUACACUUCCGACGUCGAUCUAUAGAGUAAAGAAGCUAUGCUGUUGAAGCCGCGGGCUUUAGGGCAACCAAGUUGCAUACUGAACAAGUAGAAGCGGUGAAAAUGCUGGAUUUGGUGCAGAACAAUUCAUUUUGGUGCGGGAUGAUUCUGUGAGAA